rnacentral:tRNA from 1 species
GUCAGUAUGGCCGAGUGGUUAAGGCGCAGCACUGUGAGUAACCCUUAACACAGCCUCUACUUGACUCCAUAACUAAUAAUCCCCGCAGCGAAUAAUUACAUUCCUGAUAUGCUGUUCAUUCGUGAACCUAGGUUCGAGUCCUAGUGCUGACG